rnacentral:rRNA from 1 species
GAUGAACGCUGGCGGCGUGCCUAAUACAUGCAAGUCGAGCGAACAGACGAGGAGCUUGCUCCUCUGACGUUAGCGGCGGACGGGUGAGUAACACGUGGAUAACCUACCUAUAAGACUGGGAUAACUUCGGGAAACCGGAGCUAAUACCGGAUAAUAUAUUGAACCGCAUGGUUCGAUAGUGAAAGACGGUUUUGCUGUCACUUAUAGAUGGAUCCGCGCCGCAUUAGCUAGUUGGUAAGGUAACGGCUUACCAAGGCAACGAUGCGUAGCCGACCUGAGAGGGUGAUCGGCCACACUGGAGCUGAGACACGGUCCAGACUCCUACGGGAGGCAGCAGUAGGGAACCUUCCGCAAUGGGCGAAAGCCUGACGGAGCAACGCCGCGUGAGUGAUGAAGGUCUUCGGAUCGUAAAACUCUGUUAUUAGGGAAGAACAAAUGUGUAAGUAACUAUGCACGUCUUGACGGUACCUAAUCAGAAAGCCACGGCUAACUACGUG